GACGAACCGUGCAAACGUUGUUCGGAAUCACUGGGCUUAAAGGGCGCGUAGGCGGGCGAGCAAGUCCGGGGUGAAAUCUUUCGGCUUAACCGGAAAAGUGCCUUGGAUACUGCUUGUCUGGAGGAAGGUAGGGGCAGGUGGAACUUCUGGUGGAGCGGUGAAAUGCGUUGAUAUCAGAAGGAACGCCGGUGGCGAAGCGACCUGCUGGACCUUUUCUGACGCUGAGGCGGCGAAAGCUAGGGGAGCAAACGGG
rnacentral:rRNA from 1 species